AUGUUUAGGGAUAUAUGGGACUUUGGAGUGAAAAACUGUACCUGUGAUAUUCUUAAGGGGGUCGAUUUGUACAAGGAAAGCAAUCCUGCUGCAGUCCCUUGGUACAUGAGCGGUGCCCAGUUUGUUGUGGAGACUAGCGAGUGUACUCAGGAUGCUGACCAUUACAAGAACCGUGCGUCUUCGUAUAGCCGCUGUUCGGAUCUCAAGCUCUUUGAACCUCUUGAAACAAUAGUUGGCCGCUCAUCGACCACUCCCAACAGUUCGAGGGCCCCAAUUCUGCGGAUCGAACCGGUCACCCCAAGUGAUGCCAAGGCUGUGCGGGACUGUUUCCCCCUCUGGAUGCGUGAAGAAGUUGGCUCAGUAGUUUGUGUCCAGGGGGUUGAUAUGACUUUUGAGUUGGCAGGGACGGAUAUGAUGAUACUGAGUAACACCCAACCUAGCUUGAACUUCGCGCCGCUUCUGAGAUGGUGCUUUGACAUGCUGAGCCAGAUCCCAGAAGCAGGGGAAUGUCACGUCCAGACGAGUGAAAAGCCACGGCGGACCUAA
rnacentral:rRNA from 1 species